rnacentral:misc_RNA from 1 species
UGCCCCUUGUUUACCAUUGCUCCCUCUCUUCUCUUCUUCUCUCUCUGUUUCUCUUCCUCCGCUCCCAUUUCAUCUCCUCUUCUCUCUUAGCUUCACUCCCUUUCUUCGUCUUCUUCUUCUUCUUCUUCUGCUGGUGCUGCUGCUCUGCUUCGUCUGUUUCACUCCUUUCAGGAGCAGAAGCGGUUUUCCAGCGACAAUUGCACAGGGCGUUGGAGGAUUACGGGUGGCUCAGGGGGUCUUGUGUACUGUAGCGAACUGAUUGAUCAGGAGAAAAAGGAAGUGAAGAAAAAGGAAUUUUGUUGCUGGUGUUGGUUAUAGGAAGCUUGAAAAUUUUGUAUGACUUUGUUGUUGAUUGAUGGGCUUGAGGAACAUAGAGAAGAUGGUUUGCUAUCAUUUGGGGUUCUGAAAGGGACAAGCCAAGGAAAAUUUUUGUUGUUGGAGAAGGAGAUCUUGCAUGGUGGGAGGAUUGGUGGUCUCUGCUGCUAUGGCUGAUCAGGAUCAGUGUGGAGGGACUCGAUCGAAUACGGCUCCUCCGGCUGGCGAUGGAAUUUCAUUGAAUGCUGGCCUGCAUGCGGUAACUGGUCCCCAGCUUAAGGAGCAGUUUACUUUUGAGAACGACUACUCUCCGAAGGUGAGGAAACCGUACACAAUCACAAAACAAAGAGAAAGAUGGACAGAAGAUGAGCAUAAGAAAUUUCUUGAAGCCUUAAAACUUUAUGGCCGGGCUUGGAGACGGAUUGAAGAGCAUGUAGGCACCAAGACUGCAGUUCAGAUUAGAAGCCAUGCUCAGAAAUUCUUCUCUAAGGUUGUGAGAGAGGCAAGUGGCAACAACACAAGUACACUGGAACCGAUUGAAAUCCCUCCUCCUCGACCAAAGCGAAAGCCUAUGCAUCCCUAUCCCCGCAAAAUGGUGCAUCCCCUUAAUAAUGAAUCCUCAAUUCCAGAGCAGCCACUACGGUCUUCAUCUCCAAACUAUUCAAUUUCAGAACAAGAAAACCAAUCGCCAACAUCAGUAUUAUCUGCAGUUGGUUCUGAUGCUCUUGGUUCAAUCGAUUCAAAUACACCAAACAGUAGCUUAUCCCCAGUUUCCUGUGCUGGUGGUUCACAUCCUGCUGACUCCUCAAUUUGUGAACCCAACUUGACACCUGAAGAUCAUGGAUCAACAUCACCAGCCCCAACAACUGCUGCAGCUCUUGAUGA